rnacentral:rRNA from 1 species
GAUGAACGCUAGCGGCAGGCCUAAUACAUGCAAGCCGGACGGUAACUUUUGUAGCAAUACGGAAGCUAGAGUGGCGUACGGGUGCGUAACACGUAUGCAACCUACCCUUUACAGGGAGAUAGCUCGGGGGAAACCCGGAUUAAUACCCCCAUAAUAUUAUUUUGAGGCAUCUUGAGAUAAUUAAAGAUUUAUCGGUAAAGGAUGGGCAUGCGUCUGAUUAGCUAGUUGGUGAGGUAACGGCUCACCAAGGCGAUGAUCAGUAGGGGAACUGAGAGGUUGAUCCCCCACACUGGCACUGAGAUACGGGCCAGACUCCUACGGGAGGCAGCAGUAGGGAAUAUUGGUCAAUGGGUGGAAGCCUGAACCAGCCAUGCCGCGUGCAGGAAGACGGCCUUCUGGGUUGUAAACUGCUUUAUCUGGGAUAAAAUCCCUUGCGAGGGAGACUGAAGGUACCAGAUGAAUAAGCCACGGCUAACUACGUGCCAGCAGCCGCGGUAAUACGUAGGUGGCAAGCGUUGUCCGGAUUCAUUGGGUUUAAAGGGUGCGUAGGCGGCCAUUUAAGUCAGUGCUGAAAUAUCACAGCUUAACUGUGAGGGUGGCAUUGAUACUGGGUGGCUUGAGUGCUAGCGAGGCAGGCGGAAUUGACGGUGUAGCGGUGAAAUGCUUAGAUAUCGUCAAGAACACCGAUAGUGUAGACAGCUUGCCAGGGAGCAACUGACGCUGAGGCACGAAAAGUGUGGGGGAUCAAACAGGAUUAGAUACCCUGGUAG